GAUGAAGAACGUAGCGAAAUGCGAUAAGUAAUGUGAAUUGCAGAAUUCAGUGAAUCAUCGAAUCUUUGAACGCACAUUGCGCCCGCUAGUAUUCUGGCGGGCAUGCCUGUCCGAGCGUCAUUUCAACCCUCGGGAGCCCCUUUGCGGGGGCUGCCGGUGUUGGGGAUCGCCCGCCGCCAUGGUGGACGUCCCCUAAAACGAUUGGCGGUCUCGCUGUAGCCUCCUCUGCGCAGUAGCACUUGUUCUCGCAGGCGGAGCGCGGCGCGGCCAAGCCGUUAAACCCCCAACUUUUUUACUAGGUUGACCUUGGAUCAGGUAGGAAUACCCGCUGAACUUAAGCAUAUCAAUAAGCGGAGGA
rnacentral:misc_RNA from 1 species